rnacentral:rRNA from 1 species
UGGGGAAUUUUGGACAAUGGGCGAAAGCCUGAUCCAGCAAUGCCGCGUGUGUGAAGAAGGCCUUCGGGUUGUAAAGCACUUUUGUCCGGAAAGAAAUCCUUGGCUCUAAUACAGUCGGGGGAUGACGGUACCGGAAGAAUAAGCACCGGCUAACUACGUGCCAGCAGCCGCGGUAAUACGUAGGGUGCAAGCGUUAAUCGGAAUUACCGGGCGUAAAGCGUGCGCAGGCGGUUUGCUAAGACCGAUGUGAAAUCCCCGGGCUCAACCUGGGAACUGCAUUGGUGACUGGCAGGCUAGAGUAUGGCAGAGGGGGGUAGAAUUCCACGUGUAGCAGUGAAAUGCGUAGAGAUGUGGAGGAAUACCGAUGGCGAAGGCAGCCCCCUGGGCCAAUACUGACGCUCAUGCACGAAAGCGUGGGGAGCAAACAGGAUUAGAUACCCUGGUAGUCCACGCCCUAAACGAUGUCAACUAGUUGUUGGGGAUUCAUUUCCUUAGUAACGUAGCUAACGCGUGAAGUUGACCGCCUGGGGAGUACGGUCGCAAGAUUAAAACUCAAAUGAAUUGACGGGG